UACGUAGGGGGCGAGCGUUAUCCGGAAUUAUUGGGCGUAAAGCGUGCGUAGGCGGAAUGUUAAGUCAUUUGUAAAAGAUCUCAGCCCAACUGAGUAAGGCGAAUGAAACUGGCAAUCUUGAAUACGGUAGAGGUAAGUGGAAUUCCAUGUGUAGCGGUGGAAUGCGUAGAUAUAUGGAGGAACACCAAUGGCGAAGGCAGCUUACUGGGCCGGAAUUGACGCUGAGGCACGAAAGCGUGGGGAGCAAACAGG
rnacentral:rRNA from 1 species